GCCACAAUUGCUCGACUAAAUGGCUCGCACCAGGUGCGCUCUUCAUCUUGGAUGCCAAGCCUGGUGGCGUUGUGUUUAAGGAGCUCGUUUCGGAAUGGGUUGAUGUGGUCAGAACCAUCUACGAGAGCGAUUUUGGGAGAACUGUGAUUGAUGUUAAUUAUUUCAACGUGGAUGGUUGUCAAAUCUUCCUCACAUAGUUGUAUUGCCA